GUCAAGAUGGCCGAGUGGUUAAGGCGCCAGAAUUAAGAAUUCUGGUCUUCAAAGAAGGCGUGGGUUCGAACCCCACUCUUGACA